AAGCGGCAACAGCUCAAAUUUGAAAUCUGGCCCUUGGGCCCGAGCUGCAAUUUGCAGAGGAUGCUUUUGGCGAGGCGCCUUCCGAGCUCCCUGGAACGGGACGCCAUAGAGGGCGAGAGCCCCGUCUGGCCGGACACCGAGCCUCUGUAAAGCUCCUUCGACGAGUCGAGUAGCUUGGGAAUGCUGCUCAAAAUGGGAGGUAUAUGUCUUCUAAAGCUAAAUAUUGGCCAGAGACCGAUAGCGCACAAGUAGAGUGAUCGAAAGAUGAAAAGCACUUUGAAAAGAGGGUUAAAAAGUACGUGAAAUUGUUGAAAGGGAAGCGCCUAUGACCAGACUUGGGCCCGGUGAAUCAUCCAGCGUUCUCGCUGGUGCACUUUGCCGGGCACAGGCCAGCAUCAGUUUGGCGCGGGGGAAAAAGGCUUUGGGAAUGUGGCUCCUCGGGGAGUGUUAUAGCCCAUUGUGUAAUACCCUGCGCCGGACUGAGGUACGCGCAUUGCAAGGAUGCUGGCUAUGGUCAUCAGC
rnacentral:rRNA from 1 species